GAUGAACGCUGGCGGCGUGCCUAAUACAUGCAAGUCGAGCGAACAGACGAGGAGCUUGCUCCUCUGACGUUAGCGGCGGACGGGUGAGUAACACGUGGAUAACCUACCUAUAAGACUGGGAUAACUUCGGGAAACCGGAGCUAAUACCGGAUAAUAUAUUGAACCGCAUGGUUCAAUAGUGAAAGACGGUUUUGCUGUCACUUAUAGAUGGAUCCGCGCCGCAUUAGCUAGUUGGUAAGGUAACGGCUUACCAAGGCAACGAUGCGUAGCCGACCUGAGAGGAUGAUCGGCCACACUGGAACUGAGACACGGUCCAGAAGCCUACGGGAGGCAGCAGUAGGGAAGCUUCCGCAAUGGUCGAAAGCCUGACGGAGCAAUGCAGCGUGAAUGAUGAAGGUCUACGGAUCGUAAAACUCUUUUAUUAGGGAAGAACAAAUGUGUAAGUAACUAUGCACGUCUUGACGGUACCUAAUCAGAAAGCCACGGCUAACUACGUG
rnacentral:rRNA from 1 species